rnacentral:rRNA from 1 species
GACGAACGCUGGCGGCGUGCUUAACACAUGCAAGUCGAACGGAAAGGCCCUGCUUGCAGGGUGCUCGAGUGGCGAACGGGUGAGUAACACGUGGGUGAUCUGCCCCUUACUUUGGGAUAAGCCUGGGAAACUGGGUCUAAUACUGGAUAGGACCAUGCUGUAGGUGGUGUGGUGGAAAGAUUAGUUUCGGUAAGGGAUGAGCUCGCGGCCUAUCAGCUUGUUGGUGGGGUAAUGGCCUACCAAGGCGUCGACGGGUAGCCGGCCUGAGAGGGUGGACGGCCACAUUGGGACUGAGAUACGGCCCAGACUCCUACGGGAGGCAGCAGUGGGGAAUAUUGCACAAUGGGCGCAAGCCUGAUGCAGCGACGCCGCGUGGGGGAUGACGGCCUUCGGGUUGUAGACUCCUUUCAGCUAUGACGAAGCCCUUGUGGUGACGGUAGUGGUAGAAGAAGCACCGGCUAACUACGUGCCAGCAGCCGCGGUAAUACGUAGGGUGCGAGCGUUGUCCGGAAUUACUGGGCGUAAAGAGCUCGUAGGUGGUCUGUCGCGUCAUUUGUGAAAGCCCGGGGCUUAACUCCGGGUUGGCAGGUGAUACGGGCAUGACUGGAGUACUGUAGGGGAGACUGGAAUUCCUGGUGUAGCGGUGAAAUGCGCAGAUAUCAGGAGGAACACCGGUGGCGAAGGCGGGUCUCUGGGCAGUAACUGACGCUGAGGAGCGAAAGCAUGGGUAGCGAACAGGAUUAGAUACCCUGGUAGUCCAUGCCGUAAACGGUGGGCGCUAGGUGUGGGUUUCCUUCCACGGGAUCCGUGCCGUAGCUAACGCAUUAAGCGCCCCGCCUGGGGAGUACGGCCGCAAGGCUAAAACUCAAAGGAAUUGACGGGGGCCCGCACAAGCGGCGGAGCAUGUGGAUUAAUUCGAUGCAACGCGAAGAACCUUACCUGGGCUUGACAUGCACUGGAUGCGGCCAGAGAUGGUUGUUCCCUUUGUGGCUGGUGUGCAGGUGGUGCAUGGUUGUCGUCAGCUCAUGUCGUGAGAUGUUGGGUUAAGUCCCGCAACGAGCGCAACCCUUGUCUCGUGUUGCCAGCAUUUGGUUGGGGACUCGCGGGAGACUGCCGGGGUUAACUCGGAGGAAGGUGGGGAUGACGUCAAAUCAUCAUGCCCCUUAUGUCCAGGGCUUCACACAUGCUACAAUGGCUGGUACAGAGAGUUGCGAUACCGUGAGGUGGGGCUAAUCUCGUAAAGCCAGUCUCAGUUCGGAUUGGAGUCUGCAACUCGACUCCAUGAAGUCGGAGUCGCUAGUAAUCGCAGAUCAGCAAUGCUGCGGUGAAUACGUUCCCGGGCCU